rnacentral:misc_RNA from 1 species
UGAGUUGAGUUGAGUUGAGUUUUGCUAUACCAAUUAUGUACAUGCAUAAGCCAAUAACAUGUGUUUGUCUCUCCAUGUCCAUGUAUGCUCAAAGGUACUUUCAUUUUGACAGGUUCCUAAACUUUAUUUAGCAGCUGCUUGAAACAUUGUUAAUUACAUGGGGAUCAAAUGAGUUAUGUUAACUCUGAACUAUCACCACUAUAUGUGGUAUAAAAUGUAUUCUUAUUGUUGUGCUUUAUUUUGUGCUGGCUUUAUCAAACUUAAUUGUGGUCUGACGGCCCAAGUAUUGUCUUUUUGCUCCAUUUUUUGCUUUUGACCAACUCAUUUAUCAACUAGAGGGCUAUAAGUGGGGUUAAAUUUGCCUUAUUAGUCUUUAAUUGUGAGGUAUUUGCUGACAUGAAAUAAUGCAUCUAGUUCUAAUACGUCGAACCAAAAGCUGUUUUCCCCUCUUCUUUUUCUUUCUGCAUGUGUAUCAUAUCAAAUUGAAAACAUAUGCCACACGAGAGUCAUAAUUCAAGUUUGAGGUUUCCAUUUCUUGGCUGAUGCACAUGUCCUCAUUGUUACUGGGUUGUUCUGAGCAUGCUGCUUGCAAGUGGAAGAAUUUAUGAAAUAUUGAAAUGUAACAAUGGUAUGGUGGCUUGUGAUUAGAUAUAUAUUGAUAUAGGAUUGUAAGUAACCUCUACCUAGUUAGGUUUAUUGGUAGGUUAGUGCAAGAGAUGGUGAGCCUAACAUAUCUUUAUUGUGCUGAAGAUAGUAGUGUAAUUAUGUUUGCUUUGUAAAAGGGUUUGCAUUUUGCCUGAUUUUAUAACUGUUUAAGUUGUGCUUGGCUCCAGUAUGGAAAGGACUAUGAAUUUG